rnacentral:rRNA from 1 species
UACGUAGGGUGCGAGCGUUAAUCGGAAUUACUGGGCGUAAAGCGUGCGCAGGCGGUUCGUUAUGUCCGAUGUGAAAGCCCCGAGCUCAACUUGGGAAUGGCAUUGGAAACUGGCGGGCUGGAGUGUGGCAGAGGGGGGUGGAAUUCCACGUGUAGCAGUGAAAUGCGCAGAUAUCAGGAGGAACACCAAUGGCGAAGGCAGCUCGCUGGGACGGUACUGACGCUGAGGCGCGAAAGCGUGGGGAGCAAACAGG